GUGGGGAAUCUUGCGCAAUGGGCGAAAGCCUGACGCAGCCAUGCCGCGUGGAUGAUGAAGGUCUUAGGAUUGUAAAAUCCUUUCACCGGUGAAGAUAAUGACUGUAGCCGGAGAAGAAGCCCCGGCUAACUUCGUGCCAGCACCCGCGGUAAUACGAAGGGGGCUAGCGUUGCUCGGAUUUACUGGGCGUAAAGGGCGCGUAGGCGGACAUUUAAGUCAGGGGUGAAAUCCCGGGGCUCAACCUCGGACCUGCCGUUGAUACUGGGUGUCUUGAGUAUGAGAGAGGUGUGUGGAACUCCGAGUGUAGAGGUGAAAUUCAUAGAUAUUCGGAAGAACACCAGUGGCGAAGGCGACACACUGGCUCAUUACUGACGCUGAGGCGCGAAAGCGUGGGGAGCAAACAGGAUUAGAUACCCGAGUAGUCC
rnacentral:rRNA from 1 species